rnacentral:rRNA from 1 species
AGUGAACGCUGGCGGUAGGCCUAACACAUGCAAGUCGAACGGCAGCACAGUAGGAGCUUGCGCUUACGGGUGGCGAGUGGCGGACGGGUGAGGAAGACAUCGGAAUCUACUUUGUCUGGGGGGAGAACGUAGGGAAACUUACGCUAAUAUCGCAUACGACCUACGGGAUAAAGCAGGGGAUCUUCGGACCUUGCGCGAUUGGAUGAGCCGAUGUCGGAUCAGCCAGUUGGCGGGGUAAAGGCCGACCAAGGCGACGAUCCGUAGCUGGUCUGAGAGGAUGAUCAGCCACAUUGGAACUGAGCCACGGUCCAGACUCCUACGGGGGGCAGCAGUGGGGAUUAUUGGCCAUUGGCCGCAGGCCUACUCCGGCCCUCCCGCGUGGGUGAAGAAGGCCUUCGGGUGGUAAAGCCCUUUUGUUGGGAAAGAAAAGCAGCAGGUUAAUAACCCGCUGUUCUGACGGUACCCAAAGAGUAAGCACCGGCUAACUUCGUG